CAUGUCUUUUUGAUUAUAAUUUAAGGUUUGAUCUGCUCAAUGAGGAUUUAAAUUGCCGCGGUAUUUUGACCGUGCAAAGGUAGCAUAAUAAUUAGUUUUUUUAUUGAAAGCUGGAAUGAACGAUUGGACGAGAAAACUACUGUCUCUUUUUAAUUUGUUGUUGAAAUUAACUUUUAAGUCAAAAGGCUUAAAUUAUUUUUAUAGACGAGAAGACCCUAUAGAGUUUUAUAUUUCGAUUAUUUGGGGAUUUUUGGUUAUUUGAUUUUUUGAUUAAUAGUAUUAUUUGGUUGGGGUGACUGGAAGAUUUAAUUAACUCUUUUAGAAAUUUAAUCAUUGAUUUGUGAAUAGUUAAUCUAGUUUUUUUAAGUUUAAGAAAAAUUACCUUAGGGAUAACAGCGUAAUUUCCUCUAGAGUUCUUAUUGAAUAGGGAGUUUGCGACCUCGAUGUUGGAUUAAGAUUUAAUUUUGGUGUAGAGGCUAAAAUAUUGAGUCUGUUCGACUCUUGAAAUCUUACAUGAUCUGAGU
rnacentral:rRNA from 1 species